GAUGAACGCUGGCGGCGUGCCUAAUACAUGCAAGUCGAGCGAAGCGGGGGCGGGUGAGUAACACGUGGAUAACCUCCUAUAAGUCUGGGUUAACUUCGGGUAACCCGAGCUAAACCGGCUACUUAUAGAUCGAUCCUGGCUGCAUUAGCUAGUGGGUAAGGUAACGGCUUACCAAGGCAACGAUGCAUAGCCGACCUGAGAGGGGGAUCGGCCACACUGGAACUGAGACACGGUCCAGACUCCUACGGGAGGCAGCAGUAGGGAAUCUUCCGCAAUGGGCGAAAGCCUGACGGAGCAACGCCGCGUGAGUGAUGAAGGUCUUCGGAUCGUAAAACUCUGUUAUUAGGGAAGCGGUACCUAAUCAGAAAGCCACGGCUAACUACGUGCCAGCAGCCGCGGUAAUUC
rnacentral:rRNA from 1 species